AGAGAGAGAGAGAGAGAGAGGGGGACAGGAAGGGCCUAUGGAAACACAGCCACGUCAAAUAUUGUAAGAGGAAUUCCAGAAAAGGCAAGCAGAAGAAGCAGACGGGAAAGAGGCGUUGGAGAUGGAGAAAUUAUCAAUUAAAGCACCAUUGUUUCGGCGGUGAGAUUGAAGAAGGAAACCAAAAUUUGGGGUGCCGUGGGGAUGUGGUAGUGGAUGUGACUACUAAGCUUUCCGUGAUAGAUGGAUGCGAUGGGAAUGGCUCCAAAAUUUCGCGUAAAAUCCCCAAUAACAGUUUGCCUGCUUCGGAGGAGCUUGUCAUUAAGAGAGGAGGAGGAAGGAUGGCAGAGGACAAAAAUGUAGUUCGCUUUAAGACCUGAUUGGGUUUAGAGCAAAGCUUUCCCA